rnacentral:rRNA from 1 species
UACAGAGGGUGCAAGCGUUGUUCGGAAUUACUGGGCGUAAAGCGCGCGCAGGCGGAUCCUGCAAGUCCGGAGUGAAAUCUCACUGCUCAACGGUGAGGCUGCUUUGGAUACUGCGGAUCUGGAGACCGGUAGAGGCUGGUAGAAUUGCAGGUGUAGCGGUGGAAUGCGCAGAUAUCAGGAGGAACACCGGUGGCGAGGGCGGAUCUCUGGGCCUUACCUGACGCUCAGGCGCGAAAGCUAGGGGAGCGAACAGG